GUUGAAGAUGGAGUAAGGAGUAGUCCACUGAUUUCUGCUUGUACACCAAACUUCACCCAUUCCUGUCUUCUGCAAUGAUUCUAAGGUGAACAGCAGGGGAUCAACAUAACCAUGGCAGCAGGAGCCACAUCUAACUGCAAACAGUCCUUGUUUUUUGUUGAAGGGCCGGCUCAUUCAGACGGUGUCUAUUACUCAAA